UGAGUACCAACUUCAAUUUUG
rnacentral:piRNA from 1 species